UUGGCAUUAUACCAAUUGUGGUGCCAAUUGGUGUUCGAGAUUUUGACAUUGAUGGGGAACUUUAGGUCAAAUUGAGAUUGAUACCAACAAAGCCUUUUGUAGGAGCUGUUUCAUGGGCUUUCAUUGCACUUCCAAAAAUCAAAUUUGUGUUGUCACCAUUCCACUUGUUCAAUUUAAUGGCAAUUCCUGUUCUUUCAAUGUUUUUGACAAAACGUCUCACCAAGAAUUGGAUGCUUAGAAAACUGUCUUAUUCCAUGGCGGGCGGGGCAACAUCUGUUGUUUAUAUAUUGAUGGUGGAUUCACCAAGAAAAUGAAAAUAGCUUUUAGCAAUUUUAUAGUUGUUGGCAGAGGAAUGUUCUAUUGGUGGCAGAGAAUUUUUGCUUCUUGUCAAAGCUUUAUAUACAGCAAGUGGAAAAAAUCAUCUUGUAAUAUUCUCUAGUUUUUAUUCAUAAAACACUUGUACAUUUUUCUCUUACUAAUUCAGAUUUAGUUUUUAGUUUUUCUA